CCAGAGGCUCUCGUCCCUGAGCACCUGCUUCACGCGGCUUGUGCCCAUUUACACGAGGGGCACAGCCGGGGGCCCCGACGCCAGGGCCUUCAUCCCGCUGGGCUGGAGGACCGCGUGGCUUCUUAGAACAAGACGCUCACGGAAGCUCGUGCGCAGUGAGCCGAGCUCAGGGCCUCCUCAGCGUCUCCCCAAGACCAUCUCGCAAACCAACACUCCUCUCAGCAGGCCUGAGACUCAGCCUUCGCCUCCGCCCGCCUGGCGCUGGGUGGUGCUGCUCACUGUAGCGUUUUUCCGAGCCUUGGCUCUCUCCGAGUGUGGCUUUCCUAAAGAUCGUCCAUAAACCUAGACGUGACCCACCCAGACAGCGUGUGAAAAGCAGAGAUACCACUUUGCCGACAAAGGUCUGUCUAGUCAAAGCUCUGGUUUUUCCAGUGGUCAUGUGUGAAUGUGAGAGUCGGACCAUAAAGAAAGCUGAGCGCUGAAGAAUUGAUGCUUUUGAACUGUGAAGAAGACUCUUGAGAGUCCCUUGGACUGCAAGGAGAUCCAACCAGUCCAUCCUAAAGGAGAUCAACCCUGAAUAGUCCUUGGAAGGACUGAUGCUGAAGCUGAAGCGCCAAUUCUUUGGCCCCCUGAUGCAAAGAGCUGACUCACUGGAAAAGACCCUGAUGCUGGGAAAGACUGAAGGCAGGAGGAGAAGGGGACGACAGAGGAUGAGAUGGCUGGAUGGCAUCACCGACUCAAUGAGCAUGAAUUUGAGCAAUUCCUGGAGACAGUGAAGGACAGGGAAGCCUGGUGUUCUGCCGUUCAUGGGGUCACAAAGAGUCAGAUAUGACUUAGCGUCUGAACAACAAUAAGACGUGCCUCUCAGUUAAAUAUCUUAAUUUUUCAAAGGAGGAAACAGCUCCGAGAGAACCUCUGCUGGGUCUGGAGUCACAGAGCAAGAGUUCAAAGGCCCAGCUGGUGUGGCCUCCACCCUGUGGCUCCUCGGGCCCCCAGCCUCGGCAGCGGUCUUCCUGCAGGCGGGCCCCCACCACGCAGCCAGCUGUGAGGCCCGGGCUGCCCUGUUUGCCCAAGUGGGCCUGGGGCUCACGCGCGAGCAGCCAGAGUGUAAAGACGGUAAAUAUUUUAUUUAGAAC
ensembl:lncRNA